GUGGGGAAUAUUGGACAAUGGGCGCAAGCCUGAUCCAGCCAUGCCGCGUGGGUGAAGAAGGCCCUAGGGUUGUAAACCCCUUUCAGCGGGGAAGAUAAUGACGGUACCCGCAGAAGAAGCCCCGGCUAACUCCGUGCCAGCAGCCGCGGUAAUACGGAGGGGGCUAGCGUUGUUCGGAAUUACUGGGCGUAAAGCGCGCGUAGGCGGACCUGCAAGUCGGGGGUGAAAGCCCGAGGCUUAACCUCGGAACUGCCUUCGAUACUGCGGGUCUCGAGUCCGGGAGAGGUGAGUGGAAUUCCUAGUGUAGAGGUGAAAUUCGUAGAUAUUAGGAAGAACACCAGUGGCGAAGGCGGCUCACUGGCCCGGUACUGACGCUGAGGCGCGAAAGCGUGGGGAGCAAACAGGAUUAGAAACCCUUGUAGUCC
rnacentral:rRNA from 1 species